CAGUCGUACGCUUCUUUUUCCACCGGAGCUUGCUCCACCGGAAAAAGAAGAGUGGCGAACGGGUGAGUAACACGUGGGUAACCUGCCCAUCAGAAGGGGAUAACACUUGGAAACAGGUGCUAAUACCGUAUAACAAUCGAAACCGCAUGGUUUUGAUUUGAAAGGCGCUUUCGGGUGUCGCUGAUGGAUGGACCCGCGGUGCAUUAGCUAGUUGGUGAGGUAACGGCUCACCAAGGCCACGAUGCAUAGCCGACCUGAGAGGGUGAUCGGCCACAUUGGGACUGAGACACGGCCCAAACUCCUACGGGAGGCAGCAGUAGGGAAUCUUCGGCAAUGGACGAAAGUCUGACCGAGCAACGCCGCGUGAGUGAAGAAGGUUUUCGGAUCGUAAAACUCUGUUGUUAGAGAAGAACAAGGAUGAGAGUAACUGUUCAUCCCUUGACGGUAUCUAACCAGAAAGCCACGGCUAACUACGUGCCAGCAGCCGCGGUAAUACGUAGGUGGCAAGCGUUGUCCGGAUUUAUUGGGCGUAAAGCGAGCGCAGGCGGUUUCUUAAGUCUGAUGUGAAAGCCCCCGGCUCAACCGGGGAGGGUCAUUGGAAACUGGGAGACUUGAGUGCAGAAGAGGAGAGUGGAAUUCCAUGUGUAGCGGUGAAAUGCGUAGAUAUAUGGAGGAACACCAGUGGCGAAGGCGGCUCUCUGGUCUGUAACUGACGCUGAGGCUCGAAAGCGUGGGGAGCAAACAGGAUUAGAUACCCUGGUAGUCCACGCCGUAAACGAUGAGUGCUAAGUGUUGGAGGGUUUCCGCCCUUCAGUGCUGCAGCUAACGCAUUAAGCACUCCGCCUGGGGAGUACGACCGCAAGGUUGAAACUCAAAGGAAUUGACGGGGGCCCGCACAAGCGGUGGAGCAUGUGGUUUAAUUCGAAGCAACGCGAAGAACCUUACCAGGUCUUGACAUCCUUUGACCACUCUAGAGAUAGAGCUUCCCCUUCGGGGGCAAAGUGACAGGUGGUGCAUGGUUGUCGUCAGCUCGUGUCGUGAGAUGUUGGGUUAAGUCCCGCAACGAGCGCAACCCUUAUUGUUAGUUGCCAUCAUUUAGUUGGGCACUCUAGCAAGACUGCCGGUGACAAACCGGAGGAAGGUGGGGAUGACGUCAAAUCAUCAUGCCCCUUAUGACCUGGGCUACACACGUGCUACAAUGGGAAGUACAACGAGUCGCGAAGUCGCGAGGCUAAGCUAAUCUCUUAAAGCUUCUCUCAGUUCGGAUUGUAGGCUGCAACUCGCCUACAUGAAGCCGGAAUCGCUAGUAAUCGCGGAUCAGCACGCCGCGGUGAAUACGUUCCCGGGCCUUGUACACACCACCGGUCACACCACGAGAGUUUGUAACACCCGAAGUCGGUGAGGUAACCUUUGGAGCCAGC
rnacentral:rRNA from 1 species